rnacentral:tRNA from 1 species
UCCGGCGUAGCUCAACGGCAGAGCGGGUGACUGUUAAUCACUAGGUUGUAGGUUCGAAUCCUACCGCCGGAGCGA